rnacentral:rRNA from 1 species
UAAGACCUCGCGCGAUUGGAGCGGCCGAUGUCGGAUUAGCUAGUUGGUGAGGUAAAGGCUCACCAAGGCGACGAUCCGUAGCGGGUCUGAGAGGAUGAUCCGCCACACUGGGACUGAGACACGGCCCAGACUCCUACGGGAGGCAGCAGUGGGGAAUUUUGGACAAUGGGCGAAAGCCUGAUCCAGCCAUGCCGCGUGAGUGAAGAAGGCCUUCGGGUUGUAAAGCUCUUUCGGCCGGGAAGAAAUCGCACUCUCUAAUAUAGGGUGUGGAUGACGGUACCGGACUAAGAAGCACCGGCUAACUACGUGCCAGCAGCCGCGGUAAUACGUAGGGUGCGAGCGUUAAUCGGAAUUACUGGGCGUAAAGCGUGCGCAGGCGGUUUUGUAAGACAGAUGUGAAAUCCCCGGGCUUAACCUGGGAACU